rnacentral:lncRNA from 1 species
UGAUGUUUGAUCAAUUACUCGGGCCCUUGCCUCGAGUCUUCGCUUGCAUCAAACCCGUGACGGUUUGAUGUUGGUAUAGCCUCCACCUAAACCGAGCACUCUUCUCGAUUUAGUCUUUGCUCCAGGUGAUGUCUUCUUCCUUUGUCACGAAUUUCUCAGAUGUUCAUGACUUUGAUCCGUAACCACUAACAUAGGAUUGUUACUUGUGAUUUGCGAGGAUGAAGUCAAGACAUCUGGAUCCCCUGGAGCGGCUUCCUGCCCACUCAGUGGACGUUCAAAAGCUCACAGCAAAGCUAGAACUUAUGACCAGGUACCGUCUUAGUUAGGAAGUCUGCAUGAUUUACAUUGGUAUGAAUCUUGUUUAGGAUGAUGUCUCCUGCUUCCACUAGGUCUCGAAUGAAGUUGAACUUGGUAGCUAUGUGCUUUGUCUUCUCGUGAUUGACUGGAUUUCUUGCUAGGGCUAGUGCACUUUGUGAAUCACAGUGGAGUCUGAUACCUUGUUGUUUGAAUCCCAACUCUGAGCAGAUUUCUUUUAGCCACAUUGCUUCUUUAGCUGCUUCAUUCAUAGCCAUAUACUCGGCUUCUGUAGUAGAUAAUGCCACAACUGAUUGUAGACAUGACUUCCAUGAGAUAGUAUUGCCUCCAAACUUGAAUGCGUAUCAUGUAACUGAACGCCUCCUGUCUAUGUCUGUUGCAUAGUCUGAGCCUGAGAACCCUUCUACUAUCAACUUAGGGUUCUUCUUGAAUGUUAGGUUUGAGUUCAUUGCUCCUUUUAGGUACCUUAGAAUCCACUUGACUGCUUUCCAGUGUUCUCUUCCUGGUUUGCUCAUGAACCGACACACAUAACCUACUGCGAAUCCUAGAUCAGGUCUAGAGCCCACCAUAGCGUACAUUAGCCUCCUGUGGCGCUAGCGUAUGGAAUCCUUUCCAUAUGAGAUGCCUCCACCGUCCAUUCAUCAUUUGUUAGGCUUCUCAGUUUGAAAUGUGACGCAGUUGGAGUGAUUACUUCUCUGGAAUCCUACAUUCCAAAUGUCUUUAUCACCUUCUCAAUAUAUUUCCUCUGGGAUAGGAUUAAUGUUCCUUUCUCUCUGUCUCUGAUAAUGUCCAUACCCAAGAUUCUUGAGGCUUUCCCCAUAUCAUUCAUCUCAAAUUCUCCACUCAUCUUCUCUUUAAGCUCUUCGAUCACCUUCUUAUUUUCUGAGGCAAUCAACAUGUCAUCGACAUAUAGGAGUAAAUAGAUGGCCUUAUCGGUUUGAAUAUCUCUCAUAUAGACAUAUAGGUCCUUGCUACAUCGCUUGAACAGUUGAUCCUUCAUGAAACAGUUAAAACGAUGAUUCCACCUUCUCGGAGACUGCUUUAAACCAUACAGAGACUUUCUCAGCAAACACACCUUGUUCUCUGUCCCUGGCUUUAUAAACCCCUCAGGCUGUUCCAUUAGUAUUCAUUCCUCUAGGCUUCCAUGUAAGAAAGCUGUUUUAACGUCCAUCUGUUCCAAUUCCAAAUUCAGAUUUACCACGAUGCUGAGCAUAAGUCUGAUAGAGACAUGCUUCACAACUGGUGAGAAGAUCUCGUUGUAGUCAAUCCCUUCUGUUUGAGAAUACCCUUUAGCAACCAGUCUGCCCUUGUAUCGUUCAUCCUCAACUCCUGGGAUUCCCGGCUUAAGUUUGAACAGCCAUCUGCACCCCACAAGCUUUGCCUUGGCUGGUCUGUCGAUGAGAUCCCAGGUUCUGUUCUUUCUGUGAGAUUCCAUCCCCCCUUCAGCAGCUUGAUUCCACAACUUUCUUUCUCGAGUUCUCAUAGCAACAGCAUAUGAUUUUGGUUCCUCAACUUCCAAAUCAUUGACAACAUUGAGCGCGUAAGCUACAAAGUUGCCAUCCUCAUAUCGAGAUGGUGGUCGCACAUUCUGCCUUCUUUCUCUGUCUCGUGCCAGAAUAUAUGAAUGUGGAGAGUCUGGAUCGCCGUCGUUACUCCCACUUUCACCUUCCUCAUCUGAGUUCUGGUCACUUGAAUUGGAGUUUUCAGAUGAUGACUCUUCUCCACCUUGAUCAGGUGUAUCUUCGAGUUCAGGAGAAGGAUAAGGCCCCUUGAUCAAGUCAUCACUGAAUGAAACUAUCUUCUUAGCUUCCUCUUCACAAUCUGUGUGCUUAGACUUAGCACCUUCUUUACUUGCUUUUUUCUGGUUAUUCGUGUGCUUAUACAGUUCAUCUUCGUUGAAUACCACAUUUCUGCUGGUUCUGCAUCUUCCCUCUUGUGAUAUCCAAACUCGAUAUCCCUUGGUGCCCAUAGGAUAUCCCACAAAAACUCCCUUGAGUGCUCUAGGUCCAGUCUUUUCUUCUGUUAUAUGAACGUAGGCAGAGCAACCAAACGUUCUAAGAUGUCCUAUGUCAGGUUUAGAACCUGACCACACUUCUUCUGGCAGCCUGAAGUUUAGUGUCGAAUUAGGAGAUCUGUUAAUCAAGUAGAUUGCAGUAGAUGCAGCUUCUGCCCAGAAGCUUUGGUCUAAGCCAGAUUCGGCUAACAUGCAUCUAACUUUAUCCAUAAUAGUCAUGUUCAUCCUCUCAGAAACCUCAUUCUGUUGUGGGGUGUAGGUACAGGUUCUAUGUCUCUUAAUCCCUUCCUGCUUGCAGUAAUCAUCAAACUGCCUGUUGCAGAAUUCCAAUCCAUUAUCAGUUCUCAAACACUUAAGCUUCUUCUCUGUUUUCUUUUCAACCUCAGCUUUCCAUUCUCUGAAAUUAGAAAAUACCUCAUCUUUAGUCUUCAAGAAAUAAAUCCAGACCUUCUUUGAAAAAUCAUCAAUAAAAGUCACAAUGUACUUAUUCCCAGAAAGACUAUCUGGUGUAGAAGGAGAACCCCAUAAAUCAGAAUGAACAUAUUCAAGAAUCCAAUUAGUCACAUUUUCAUCUUUAGGAAAGCUUUGCUUGUGUGACUUGCCAAUAACACAAUGUUCACAGAAAUCCAAUGUCUUCACCUCUUUGUCAAUGAUAAAUCCCCUUUUGACAAGUUCAGACAUAUUAUUAAGACUCAUAUGACCGAGGCGUGAAUGCCAAACAUUAGUCAUAUUUUUCUCUGCUCUGGAUAGAUUAACCUCUCCUCUUAGGACAGUCCCUUGUAGAUAAUACAGUCCCUGAUGAUACCUUCCUGACAAUACACGUUUAUUAUCCUUAUAAAAAUUCACUGUAAGAUCCUUUCCUUCAUAGGUGCAACCUGCUGUCUCCAACAUUCCAUAGGAAAUUAAAUUUCUGCUCAUACCUGACAUGUAUCUUACUCCUGUUAAGAUCACCAAAGAACCAUCUGGAUUAAGAAUUUUAAUUUUCCCAAUUCCCUGAAUGUUGCUGUGUGUUGUUUGCCAUUAACACCUUUCCACCUUUGAAUUCUUCCAGGUCAAACAUGAAGCUUUUAUCUGGAGUGAUAUGGAAUGAGCAUCCAGAAUCCAUUACCCAUUCAUCCUUGGCGUAUUGGGUACUGGCGGUAAGAAUAAGCGGCUCCUUAGACUCUGCUACAACAUUAGCUGAGUCUUGCGUGUUGAAUUGUUUCUUAUCAAGACAUUCGCGCUUCCAGUGACCUUCUUUACCGCAUAUGAAACAUUCCUUAGUGUUCUUAUUGUUCCUGGGACGCGACUUGGAACGCCCCUGUCUGCUCGUGGAUUUUCCUCUAUAGGAUUUUCCAUUUCCCUUACCGAGGUUGUCUGAUCUGCCCCUGUCUUGCACCAUCAGACCUUCUCCACCUGACCUGGUAAACUUACCACUCUCGAUCAACUCUCUUUCUUUCGACCUUGCUGCACCUGUAACUUCAUUUAGGCUCAGUGUGUCUCUCCCGUACUUGAGAGUCUCCUUGAGUUGAUCAUAUUUGCUAGGUAGAGAACUUAGAAGUAGGAUAGCUUGAACUUCCUCUGAUACUUCAACUUGCAAAUUGUUUAAGUCUGCAACUAGCUUUAAGAAGUCAUCCACAUUCUCAUCAAUAGACUUCGAAUCAGCCAUUUUAAAAGUGUAAAACCUGAGCUGUAGAUAAAUCCGGUUGGGUAGAGAAGUCUCUGUGUACAAAUUGUUUAAUGUACUCCACAUUGCAGCAGCAGUCUCACAAUGUUGAAUUUUUCUUAAGACUUUGUUCCCAACAUUCAGCACAAUCAGGUCCUUAGCUUUUUCUGACUUUUCAGACUUCGCAGGGUCAACUGCAGGUGUUGGUUCAACUAUUCCAGCUAGCCCCUUUCACGUGUCCUUCAUGGCAGACUCGGGCUCAUCCUUGGGGUCUGGAACUUCCUUUAAAAGCUUCUCGUUCGUGAGUAUAGCUUUCAAUCCAAGUACUCCAGAGUGAGCAAGCAUUCUCACUUUCCAUAGAGCAAAAUCACCAUCACCAUCGAAACGAUCUAUCUCCACCCGUUCCUUUGACGUCACCAUUGAACAGGUACCAGAUAUGUCUUCGUCUCUUUCUCAAAACAUGAGUAGCCUUAAUAACCCGGAAGCUCUGAUACCACUUGUAGAAGAAUUUAGCUUAGGUUACUUAGGUUUCAAGUUAGCCUUAGAUCUAGGUUUAAACUGAAAGUAAAUACACAAUCAAUUUAACAAGUUCCCGGCCCUCGGCACGGUAAGUCUCGUGGGAGAACUUCUGCUCCCAAACUUGACUAGAUCAAAAGAGUCACCAGCCACACCAAAUAAAUGUGCUAGUUAGUUUACAAUGAACCAAAUACUCCAAGCUAGAGAAUACAAAAGCCCUUUGGAUAAUAGACUUAACCCUAAGCUAGUUAUCUUGUGUGUUGUCUUCUUUCUCUUGCUAAUCUCCUGAUUAUCUGGUUUUGUUGCCGUAAACUAAGAGUUGUUGCUUAACCUUAACCUAAAUCAUCAUACUUCACAUUAUAUAUGCUUUGUAUAUGAUCAGGUAAGAUAAGCUGGACUGAGCUUGUGUUUGCUUGGCCCAAGGAGAGUGUUUCUGUCGCUGGCCCAUGUGGAAAUAGCUGAAGCUCAAAUACCUUUCACAAUAUGUCUCAUGUACCUUGAAGAAUUAAAGAUUCCAG